rnacentral:rRNA from 1 species
UACGGAGGAUGCGAGCGUUAUCCGGAUUUAUUGGGUUUAAAGGGUGCGUAGGCUGGAAAUUAAGUCAGCGGUGAAAUUUCGGAGCUCAACUCCGAACCUGCCGUUGAAACUGUUUUCCUUGAGUAAAGUUGAGGUAGGCGGAAUUCGUAGUGUAGCGGUGAAAUGCAUAGAUAUUACGAGGAACUCCGAUAGCGCAGGCAGCUUGCCAAACUUUAACUGACGCUGAGGCACGAAAGUGUGGGUAUCAAAC